GUCCCAUUUUCAUCAACUUAAUUUCGCUUUAUAAGCCUGUAUCGUCAUCACAAGAUCAUCUGGUGUAUGAAAACCGCCUCUAGCAUUAAACCUGUCCUGUUUUCUCACUAGAAGGCAGCACUGUGAUUUUAACACAGGCAUCUUAGGGCUUUUAUUGUAACAGCGUCAAAGAAUGCCCGUCGAUAGCCCGUCACCGCGUCAAACAUGUCUGUCUGCAGGGCUCUGCCAUGAGCGUCUGACGCGCUCAGGAAGCGUUUCACCACAGCGUUUCGCGACGCGCUCAAUGCGACUGCGGAUAUUAAACACUGUUUCGGGCGCCAUAGAGGAAUGAUUAUCCACAAUCCAGUGAUUAAUAUUAAAUAAAGGCCUAGUUAUCGACUGCUGGAUCCUGAUUUGAAGCGUCGCUGUGGUCCGGGUGCACAAUGAUUUGUGAUGGACAGGAUGAAGAGGACAGUGCUCUCUCACACCCCUGUGUUUAUGACCAGUCAGCACUGUGACUCCCACACAUGCCAUAGAUGUCCUUCCCUUAGCUCACUGAGCUAACUUUAUUUCUCCUCAUCACCCCUGUUAUCCUUCCACUCUUCCCUCUCUCAUGCCUCUUGCUCUGUCUUCACUCUGUCUCUCUUCUCUUAUC